GGAUUGUAGCUCAGUGGUACAGCACUUGCCUCACAUCUGAGGGGCACUGAGUUCAACUCUCAGCACCA
rnacentral:tRNA from 1 species